GUAGUCAUAUGCUUGUCUCAAAGAGUAAACCCCACACAUGUAAGUAUAAGCACAUAUACCGCGAAAAAGCGCGGAGCUCAUCAUAAAUCAUUUCGUGUUUUUUUUAGCACAUUUUCCUACUUGGAUAACCGUGGUAAUUCUAGAGCUAAUACAUGCUAAAAAUCCCGACUUCGGAAGGGAUGUAUUUAUUAGAUUAAAAACCAACGCCCUUUGGGGCUUCUUGGUGAUUCAUGAUAACUGGUCGAAUCGCAUGGCCUUGCGCCGGCGAUGGUCAUUCAAAUUCUGCCCUAUCACUCGAUGGUAGGAUAGAGGCCUACCAUGGUUUCAACGGGUAACGGGGAAU
rnacentral:rRNA from 1 species